rnacentral:rRNA from 1 species
UACGUAGGGUGCAAGCGUUGUCCGGAAUUAUUGGGCGUAAAGAGCUCGUAGGCGGUUUGUCGCGUCUGCUGUGAAAACGCGAGGCUCAACCUCGCGCCUGCAGUGGGUACGGGCAGACUAGAGUGCGGUAGGGGAGAUUGGAAUUCCUGGUGUAGCGGUGGAAUGCGCAGAUAUCAGGAGGAACACCGAUGGCGAAGGCAGAUCUCUGGGCCGUAACUGACGCUGAGGAGCGAAAGCGUGGGGAGCGAACGGG